rnacentral:rRNA from 1 species
GUGGGGUAAUGGCCUACCAAGGCGACGACGGGUAGCCGGCCUGAGAGGGCGAUCGGCCACACUGGGACUGAGACACGGCCCAGACUCCUACGGGAGGCAGCAGUGGGGAAUAUUGCGCAAUGGGCGAAAGCCUGACGCAGCGACGCCGCGUGAGGGAUGAAGGCCUUCGGGUUGUAAACCUCUUUCAGCCUUGACGAAGCGAAAGUGACGGUAGGGGCAGAAGAAGCACCGGCUAACUACGUGCCAGCAGCCGCGGUAAUACGUAGGGUGCAAGCGUUGUCCGGAAUUAUUGGGCGUAAAGAGCUCGUAGGCGGUUUGUCGCGUCUGGUGUGAAAAUCCAGGGCUUAACCCUGGACCUGCAUCGGGUACGGGCAGACUAGAGUGCGGUAGGGGAGAUCGGAAUUCCUGGUGUAGCGGUGAAAUGCGCAGAUAUCAGGAGGAACACCGGUGGCGAAGGCGGAUCUCUGGGCCGUAACUGACGCUGAGGAGCGAAAGCAUGGGGAGCGAACAGGAUUAGAUACCCUGGUAGUCCAUGCCGUAAACGUUGGGCGCUAGGUGUGGGGCUCAUUCCACGAGUUCUGUGCCGCAGCUAACGCAUUAAGCG